rnacentral:misc_RNA from 1 species
CCCAACUAUCCCUAUUAAUCAUUACGUCAAUCCUAGAAACCAACAAAAUAAGAUCGAACGUCCUAUUUCAUUAUUCCAUGCUAAUGUAUUCAAGCGUUAGCCUGCUUUAAACACUCUAAUUUUUUCAAAGUAACAGUCCAAAUUCCCCGCAACACCAAAUUAAUGGCAUUACGGUUCAUAAGGAAGGAGGAAUCAGUGAGAUCAGUACAUACCAGAGGCAUGACCAACCUACUAACCCCGAAAUUCAACUACGAGCUUUUUAACUGCAACAACUUUAAUAUACGCUAUUGGAGCUGGAAUUACCGCGGCUGCUGGCACCAGACUUGCCCUCCAA